AUUGAACGCUGGCGGCAGGCCUAACACAUGCAAGUCGCGCGAGCGGCGGACGGGCGAGUAAUGUAUGGGGACUGCCCGAUAGAGGGGGAUCACUACUGGAAACGGUAGCUAAUACCCCAUACUAUCGGAUAACCCAUAUGGGAUUGGCUAGUGGGUUAGGUAAUGGCUCACCUAGGCGACGAUCCCUAGCUGGUCCGCUAGGAUGAUCAGCCACCCUGGGACUGAGACACGGCCCAGACGCCUACGGAGGCAGCAGUGGGGAAUAUUGCACAAUGGGCGCAAGCCUGGUACAGCCAUGCCGCGUGUAUGAAGAAGGCCCUAGGGUUGUAAAGUACUUUCAGUCGGGAGGCGUUACCGACAGAAGAAGCACCGGCUAACUCCGUGCCAGCAGCCGCGGUAAUAC
rnacentral:rRNA from 1 species